UGACCGUGAAAAGGGGUUUGGGGAGUGCAAGGGAGGAGGUAGGUGAUGAAGGAAAAAAAGGUGGGGAGACGACAGAAAAGUAAGAGCCUUCCAAGUCCAAUAGCAAGACAAAGGUAGGAUGACUGGUGAUGACCUGAAAUGAAGUAGAUGACCUUGACUUCUUCACUCCACAGCAUCUGCUUUUAGACACCUUCAUGGCAUUGGAACAAAUUGUUCUCAUCUGCUCAUUCCACCAGGGGAAGUCUUCACACGCUUGAGUUUCUGACAGGUUUGUGGUCCAUCAGUUACUCUCAACUUGGUUUAUCCCAUCUGCCAAGAUGAUUUACUAGAAUGCAACUGCUGAUUAUGCUACAGCUUCUUGGAGUCACAGGUAAAUGAUCAUGACCUUGUGAGCUCCGAAAGGGAAAAAGAGAACUUCAAAAGCCGAAAGAAAGCACCUCUGGAAAUUCAGGACUGGAAUCCAUGCCAGAGUUUAGAAGCAGCCAAGCCCUGUGGGCAACAGAGACUGGAAGAGAGAUCUGAUUGACCCAGAUUGUUAGAGUAUCAACCUGACUGCUGGGUUGGGGGGGCGGGAGGUUGGCUGCUGUCAAAGCCUCUCAUUGGCUCGUUCCUAUUUAUGGAUUCCACCUAGCUUUAUGCAGACGUUUUCCAAGAAUUGUGUCUACAGGUUGCUCCAGGACUACUUUCUAGUUAGUGGUUUCAGUGUUCUUGCAAAUAGAGGAAAUGCACAUACACCGAAAUAUGAAUAGCAGCACUGUUUGUGAUAGCAAAGUAAUGGAAAUAAAGCCACGCCCAUCAAUUGCUGCACAGCCAAAUAAAUUGUCAUUCGUGAAUAUAAUGAAUAGUUCUGUGGUAUAAAAAACGAUAAAUAUAAUGAGUACAGAGAAAGGGGGAAGAUGGGAACUAAGGAAAACCGAAACCAGGAAAACAAUAUGCAAAUUGGAUGCAGAUUAUAUAAACAGUGAUGUCAAGGGAAAGUGCACACAAAAAGAAACAAAACGAAUGCUGCCUAAGUAAUUACAAUGCCCAAAUUUGUUUUUUCCCCCUCCCCACAAAGAGAUGGAAAAACACAACUCCCUCUAUUUUAACGUCCCUAAAACACACUGUACUUUACAGAUUUAAUAUUACAUGGAAAUGCUCACAAGGCAGAAUUUAAAUGCUUUUCUAGUAACUUAAUAGAGGGAAUAUACAUUUUAUUGGCUGUUAAGUCACAUAUCUGUAUGUAUAUUUUGUGGACUAUAUACAUACAUAUAUAUGGAAUAUACACUUUCUUACAUGGAAAGCUGACCUCCAUCUUAGGUGACCUGGGCACAUUAAAAAAAGUCCUGUUUUUCUUUCUUGGGGAAGUGACACUGAAAACCAUCAAAACAUGCAACAUUUUGUAGAGCUGAUAAAUAGUCAUCGCCUUUUCACUUAGGCAUGGCACUGUCCAAACAAGUCCAAAAAAAGUCAUGUCUUUCUAGCAAGUCUUUCCAGCUGGACUUGACCCAGGACCCCUAAACUCUUGAGGUAGGUGUUUCCCCUUCAAAAACAAACAAAUCCAUCACUAUUUGGUCUCCUAAUGUUCAGUGAACGUAGGAAGCAGUAAGAAGUGGCCAGAGGCCAGAGGCUUAGGAUCUAGCAGCUAUAUGUGAACAGAUACUAUAAGUGCUGGGGUUGAAGAAUGAAAGAAGAAAUACCCUUUCCCUAUACCAUAAGAUGUCUGAGGCAGACCUGUGGAAGUCCCAAGCCACAUGUUCAGGAGAGAGUAAAGGCAGAUUUCUCUCUCUUUCUCUCUUUAGGUUCCUUAACCUUAGGUCUAUAAACUCUUUAGCUAACUUUAUUUCAAUAUAUAAUUUCCCUUUAUAAUGCUAUAUAUUUAAAGAAAACGAUUCUAAGAGUGGGUCCAUAAAUUUUACCAGAUUCCUACUCCUCCUACUUUUCCUAGCCCUCCCCCAACUCAACUUUCCAAUUUUCUUACAUUUUUUUUUUAAUCCUUACCUUCUCUCUUAGAACAUCAGUCCCAAGGCAGAAGAUGGGGAUGGUGCUGUCUUUUACAUUACCCCUCUACCUCACCCACAUAUAUUUUUGGUCUGUACCUGUGAUUUUGGCAGUGUAGAGCAAUGAUCUACACACUGGGAUAUAUAUAUAUAUAUAU